GAUGAACGCUGGCGGCGUGCCUAAUACAUGCAAGUCGAACGGACAGACGCUGCUCUUGCUCCUCUCACGUUAGCGGCGCGCGGGUGAGUAACGCGUGUAUCCCCUCCCUGUCUUACUGAGAUAACCUCGGGACACCGGCGAUUAUCCCAGAUAAUCUCUUGCACCGCGUGGUUCAAUGGUGAAUGACGGUUUUGCUGUCACGUCUCGCUGCUUCCGGGCCGCAUGAGCUGGUUGGUACGGUCACGGCCUACCAAGGCAACGAUGCGUAGCCGAACUGCGAGACGGGUAGGCCGCAUGGGAACUGAGACAGCGUCCAGGGGACUACGGGAGGCAGCAGUAGGGUAUCUGCGGCAACGGGCGAAAGCCUUACGGAGCAAGGCCGCGUGAGUGAUGACGGCGUUCGGAUCGUAAAGCCCGGUUAUUAGUGAAGAACAAAUGUGGCAGGAACUAUGCCCGUCUUGACGGUACCUAAUCAGAAAGCACCGGCUAACUACGUG
rnacentral:rRNA from 1 species